rnacentral:rRNA from 1 species
UAGGGAAUCUUCGGCAAUGGACGAACGUCUGACCGAGCAACGCCGCGUGAGUGAAGAAGGUUUUCGGAUCGUAAAACUCUGUUGUUAGAGAAGAACAAGGACGUUAGUAACUGAACGUCCCCUGACGGUAUCUAACCAGAAAGCCACGGCUAACUACGUGCCAGCAGCCGCGGUAAUACGUAGGUGGCAAGCGUUGUCCGGAUUUAUUGGGCGUAAAGCGAGCGCAGGCGGUUUCUUAAGUCUGAUGUGAAAGCCCCCGGCUCAACCGGGGAGGGUCAUUGGAAACUGGGAGACUUGAGUGCAGAAGAGGAGAGUGGAAUUCCAUGUGUAGCGGUGAAAUGCGUAGAUAUAUGGAGGAACACCAGUGGCGAAGGCGGCUCUCUGGUCUGUAACUGACGCUGAGGCGCGAAAGCGUGGGGAGCAAACAGG